UGGAGAUCUGUAUGGUUACAGUUGCAUAACACACUGUUGAUGAAGACUGCGUCUUUGUUUUUUAUACCUGCUCCAGAAUAAAGAGUGAACCAGAGCAAGAUUAAGUCCUGUGUGGCCGUUCCGUCCUUCCUGCACCAUAGAUGGAAGGGGACACAUCCACCACAAGUCUACUGAUUCCAGAUCCGCUUGAUGCAGAUGGCCUGAUUGAGGAUGCAGUGUGGAUUGCAUGGAAGAGGUUCGUGGUGGGACAUCGUCUGUCCUGGACUUUGAGUUAUGCUCUCUCUCCAAGGGUGGUGCCGCCUCUCUCGCCCUCACCUGGCUGAGCAUGCGGGCGGUUUGCACCCUCCCAUCACCGACAGAGAUCUGUACGGUUGCAGUUGCAUAACACCCUGCAGAUGAAGACUGUGUGCUGUUAUACCAGCUCCAGAAUGAAGAGUGAUGCUGUUCCAUCCUUCCUGCACCACAGACGUAAGGGGACGCAUCCACCACAAGUCCACAGACCUAAACCCGCCAAAAACAAAGAAUGGAAGGACACAUGAAAAGCAAUUCAUGGGCCACAAUGAGAGUCUAUUCUCUUAUGCACAGACAAGACAGAAGACAUGCGUAUGGAAACAUUUAAAGCACAAUGACAUCCAUGUUAAGGUAAAAAUACAUUUCACUCUUAGCAACUACUUUGUUUCAACUUUCCUGAGGAGCUUUAAGUUAUAAAAUCCUCAAUAUUCAGAGAAACAUGUGAUGAAAAAACUACGUCACAAAAACGGAAUUUGUGUUAAAGCUAGGGUUGGUAAUGUUGAGAAACUAGCACGAGUACACGAAAGAAACCGAGCCCAGUGAUGCCAACUUUUUUCCAACGAAGGUAGCUUGCAGGAUUAGCUUCAACAGUUGCUUAAUCUAGCGAGAAAGUCACCAAGUCAGUUUAGCACAGACGCAACGUGUCUGGGUGCCAACUAAUAAUUAACCAUUACAUGGGCGAGUUCUGCACGAGACAUUCCUGUGUCACAAGAAUUAGCCUUUAAUCACCGCAGGGGAGUUUUGAAUAGACUUGUCUUAAAUCUGAAUUGUAAUGAUUUAACCAUCCAAUUAUUCAAUAACCAGACUUAAGUUUUUCAACAGGUGUUUUCAACAUUUUUCCUGUCUGUACGACCCCAAAUGCACAAGCUGUAACAAAUAUCUUUUUAAUACUGUAUGCAGUCACAUUGCCAUCUAGCGUCCAUCGGUGGUAAGACCCCUCUAAUAGAAAGUACCGCACUGAAUAAAAAUACCGUACUGUUAAAAUGACUAAUUAGUAGUCUGUGUAUCCUGUUUUUAGCUCAUUAUUGGCUCUAUUAAGAAUGCCUUUUUGAUAGUCAAGUAAGAAAAGAACAUUUGUAACCUGUUCUAUAAAUGUUUUAUUGUGACUGUGUUUACAGAAAUGUUGAAGUGUUUAUUAAAUUAUUACAUCUUAUAAUAAAUAAAUCUUUCAUUUAUCGCCAAAGUCGUUGUUGUGAAAGGAUCAAUGCUUUCAGAAAUUACUGUUGUUUAUGUUUAUGAGAUUGAUUAAUUUGUUAUUAAACUGUUGAGUUAUUUUUCAUCUAUUUACCUCCAGAAGGAGGUGGUGCCCCAUAGAUUAACGAGUGCAUUAGUUAAGUUCGGACUUUUCUAUCUUUUUUUUGUUAGAGCAUUUGAUUUAUUGAUUGCUGUCGUGAUGUAAGGAGAAUUUCAACAAAUAUAACAAAACAUGUUUUGAAGAAAAUUACCAACCCUAGCUUUAAACUUAUUUUGAGAACAGUUAGCAUAUAAUCAACUUGUUAAAGUUGACAUACCGUAAAACUGCAAUUAAUAGCCCGGGCUUUAAUUUGCUUCAAUCACUGAACUCAACCGGCGUAUAUUUAGGACGGGCCUUUAAUUCCUUUUGCACAAAACUCAUGCUCAGCAAAGAUGGGAAAUUCUAUCAAAUUUGAAUAUUACUUGUAUAAAAAUGAGGCUAUCGGAUAACAUAUCAAUUAUGAAUCAUACAUUUCAUCUAGCUGUGAGACAGUUAACAACGCUCGUUUUACUGACACAACACCUCUUUAUCCUGUUAAAACCGGCCUGACGAAAAGGAAAAGGGGUGAAAACUAAACAGAGAAAGGUGGGGACACCUUUAUUUUGCAGUGGACUUCACAUGACAGUUUUGACAUUCAAAAGGAAUAUAAAUAACCGAGAAAUGGACACAUAUUCAGACUUUAUGACCGCUUCGAAGGUAAGGAGUCGCCACUUUGUAUUAGUCUCUAAUAUACGGCUGUACCAAAUAGUUUAUAGCUUAAUAACGUUGAUAUUCUAAUUAUUAUUAUGAAUAACUCACAGAAACAUUGCGGGCCUUCACUCUUUUAUCUAUUUCACACACGAGCGAAGCAGCGUUCAGCGUCUGACUGUAAUUGUCUCAGUCUUCAGUCCAAAAGUCAACAUUUAUUGAAAAAGGAUCGAUAUAAUAAUUUCCAAAAUUCACUACAUGCUUCCGUCUAACAAAAGACUUUACUUCAAUCCAUAUUUGUUGGCGUUUAGCCUUUCAAAAACAUUUUCACUGGGAGGCACUUGGUGCUCAUAGUUUCUGUAAAAUGAACUGGACAAUUGAAUUGUGGAGAAUCUAACGAUGUGUAACAUAUCCAUAUUGACAAAAGUUACCCGGCGUUUAAUUGAGACCUGCGUUUAGCAUGUAAUUGGAGCUCAGCUUUUAAUUGAAGUUUUACGGUAUUUAGUUUCGCUGAUUAAUGUCAGUGUGAGUUGGUCAUUAUAAGAAUCAACACAGAGUGGUGCAGAUUUUUGCCUUGCCUCUAUGGAGUGUUUGGUAAUGGAGUCUGGUGGGGAGAGUGUCUCUGCAGCCUGGUAAAAUGUUCUACAUACAAACUCAAAGUCAGGA